GUAGUGCGCAGGCGUCCGGACCGGAACCGCAUCUCCGGCGGCGGGGCUUGGAGCGCGCGCUUUUCGUGGGGCGGGAGCCCGCGCCCGGGUGCUGACCUCCUGCCUCAGCGCCCCCUCCCCCACUACCCGCGGCCUAGCGGGGUAGCCUCGGGUGGCCAGGCUUGUUUCCUCCUCGGUGGGUGUAAGGUGCGGCUUCGCUGGUCCUGGCCUGAAUCCAGCGGAAGCGCACGCUGCUGAGCUGUCAGCGGAGGAAAAUGGGGCCUGGACCUGGAGAUAUGAGGGUCUGGAGAGAGGGGCCCCUUCCCUGGUGUCGUGUGGUGCGACCACUGGAGAGGGAGUUUCUCGCCCUCGUCGCGCCUGCCGCGCGGAGAGAUAAGGAAGCAAGAAUAGGAAGUGGAACCAAUGGAAGAUCUCAAGGAGAAGCAGAGCAACAUAAUGUGAGGAAGCUAGAACAGGAGAUGGUUCCAGGAAGGAUGUCAUGUUCAUUGAAUGACUGAUUAAAUCAGGACUCCUUAAGCUUUUUAUGUGCCAUUAGCUUUUUUGGCAGUUUGGUGAAGCCUUUGGAUCUUGUCUGAUAAUAUUUGUAAAUGCAUAAAAUAAAAUAUAAACUAUAGUUAUCAAAAUACAGUGGUCCCCCCUUAACUGCAGUUUCAAUUUCUGUGAUUUCAGUUACCCAAGGUCAACCUGGUCUGAAAAUAAGUACAAUAAGAUACUUUGUGUAUGAGACAGAAAGACCAUAUUCACAUAACUUUUAUUACAAUAUAAUUGUCCUAUUUUGUUGUUAAUCUCUUCCUGUGCAAAUUUAUAAAUUAAACUUUAUCAUAGGUAUAUCUAUGGAUAGGAAUAAACUGUAUAAUCACAUUUGGUGCUGUGUGGGGGACACUACUAUAUUCAAAGAAACGUGUGAUGAUCUAGUAGUAUGUGUUUCUGUAUUAAUACAAUACAGUGUUUCUUUACUAAUACAUUAAAAAGCAUGAUUUUUUGGCAAGUUUAACAGCUCCCAUAAUUGUAAGUGAUAUUUUAAGAUGUCUGUAACAACUAUAAUGUGAUAUGAAAAUAUUAAUUGAUGGUGUUUUCUAUUGAUGACAGUGUUACAGCUGCUGGCUGGUACUACAAAGAUUUAUUUUCUACAUUCAUAAAAUUAGAUUUCAGUGAGAGUUUUUUGAAAAUAAAGUUGACUUUUUUUUAUUCCAUCCAA